AGUGAACGCUGGCGGUAGGCCUAACACAUGCAAGUCGAACGGCAGCACAGUAAGAGCUUGCUCUUACGGGUGGCGAGUGGCGGACGAGUGAGGAAUACAUCGGAAUCUACUUUUUCGUGGGGGAUAACGUAGGGAAACUUACGCUAAUACCGCAUACGACCUACGGGUGAAAGCAGGGGAUCUUCGGACCUUGCGCGAUUGAAUGAGCCGAUGUCGGAUUAGAUAGUUGGCGGGGUAAAGGCCCACCAAGGCGACGAUCCGUAGCUGGUCUGAGAGGGUGAUCAGCCACACUGGAACUGAGACACGGUCCAGACUCCUACGGGAGGCAGCAGUGGGGAAUAUUGGACAAUGGGCGCAAGCCUGAUCCAGCCAUACCGCGUGGGUGAAGAAGGCCUUCGGGUUGUAAAGCCCUUUUGUUGGGAAAGAAAAGCAGCAGGUUAAUACCCCGCUGUUCUGACGGUACCCAAAGAAUAAGCACCGGCUAACUUCGUG
rnacentral:rRNA from 1 species